UACGGAGGGUGCGAGCGUUAAUCGGAAUUACUGGGCGUAAAGCGUACGCAGGCGGUUAGUUAAGUCAGAUGUGAAAGCCCCGGGCUCAACCUGGGAACUGCAUUUGAAACUGGCUAACUAGAGUGCGGCAGAGGGUGGUAGAAUUUCAGGUGUAGCGGUGAAAUGCGUAGAGAUCUGAAGGAAUACCGAUGGCGAAGGCAGCCACCUGGGCCGACACUGACGCUCAUGUACGAAAGCGUGGGUAGCAAACAGG
rnacentral:rRNA from 2 species